ACGGAAGGCAGCAGUGGGGAAUAUUGGGCAAUGGGCGCAAGCCUGACCCAGCAACGCCGCGUGAAGGAUGAAGGUCUUCGGAUUGUAAACUUCUUUGAUUGGGGAAGAAUAAAUGACCUACCCAAAGAACAAGCCACGGCUAACUACGUGCCAGCAGCCGCGGUAAUACGUAGGUGGCAAGCGUUAUCCGGAUUUACUGGGUGUAAAGGGCGUGUAGGCGGCUUUGCAAGUCAGAUGUGAAAUUCCUGAGCUCAACUCGGGCGCUGCAUCUGAAACUGUAAAGCUUGAGUACUGGAGGGGAAAGCGGAAUUCCUAGUGUAGCGGUAAAAUGCGCAGAUAUUAGGAAGAACACCGGUGGCGAAGGCGGCUAUCUGGACAGUAACUGACGCUGAGGCGCGAAAGCGUGGGGAGCAAACAGGAUUAGAUACCCUGGUA
rnacentral:rRNA from 1 species